rnacentral:lncRNA from 1 species
GUUGAUUUUCCAAGAGGGUUCUGUCCCAAGAGAGCGUUUCUCAGUGCCUCAAUAACCAUUCCUUUUCAGUUGGCUGUAUGCAUGCUGUGGAUAGCAUGAGCACUCUGCAUGAGUAAUUCUUCCUAAACACCCUGACGGAUGUGGCCUGGUGUGAGAGAGAACUCACUUCAUGCUUAUAUGCACCUCAAGUAUGCCCUGGAAGGGGGACCAGGCAAGGUGUUUCACACAGUGCUUCUAACAGAUGGUUGGCAUCAGGCUGGGGUUACUUUGAGCACACUGCAGGACCAGUGGAACCUAAACGGUCUGUUGG